rnacentral:piRNA from 1 species
AGAGCCUGAUGAACUAAACGAUGCAAGU